rnacentral:rRNA from 1 species
CUACGGGGGGCAGCAGUGGGGAAUAUUGGACAAUGGGCGAAAGCCUGAUCCAGCCAUGCCGCGUGUGUGAAGAAGGCCUUCGGGUUGUAAAGCACUUUCAGUGGGGAAGAAAGCCUUGGGGCUAAUACCCUCGAGGAAGGACAUCACCCACAGAAGAAGCACCGGCUAACUCCGUGCCAGCAGCCGCGGUAAUACGGAGGGUGCGAGCGUUAAUCGGAAUUACUGGGCGUAAAGCGCGCGUAGGCGGUCUGAUAAGCCGGUUGUGAAAGCCCCGGGCUCAACCUGGGAACGGCAUCCGGAACUGUCAGGCUAGAGUGCAGGAGAGGAAGGUAGAAUUCCCGGUGUAGCGGUGAAAUGCGUAGAGAUCGGGAGGAAUACCAGUGGCGAAGGCGGCCUUCUGGACUGACACUGACGCUGAGGUGCGAAAGCGUGGGUAGCAAACAGGAUUAGAUACCCUAGUAGU